rnacentral:ncRNA from 1 species
UACGUUCCUCCGGGGUGCUGGGAAUCGGCCGGCUGAGAUUGUGUCCCGUUAGACACUGACCCGUAUACCUGAUCUGGGUAAUGCCAGCGUAGGAAACAAGGAUUUCGAUUUGUU